CCCCUUGAUCGAGUGUGCCACCGAUCGAGUUGAAGCCCUCUCUGGUCAGCAUCCUCCCUCCAUGCCACCAUGCCGAUCUCUCUCGCUCUCUAAUGCUGUGGCCAUCGAUCCUCUUUCUCCCUCCCCAGUCGAGCUUGGCGCUGGCCGUCGUCCUCCCUCUCCGGUCGAGCAUGCCACCGGCCACUUUGAAGCCCUCCCC
rnacentral:lncRNA from 1 species